GUGGAUGUAGUUUAAUGGAAGAACACCGGUAAGCCCGGCCGGCGGCACAGGUUCGAUUCCUGUCGUCCGCG
rnacentral:tRNA from 2 species